CUCAUGUCAACUUCGAAUGGGUGGCUUCUGGUUCGCGGUAUCCCAUGAGGCCAUACGGCAGGGUGCGAUGACGAGUGGUGCCGCAGAAGAGGAAAUCACGAGUAAAGAGGAAGAGGCAGUGAGAUGAGAAAGCUGGACAAUUAGACAUGAUGAGAUUGACUCUGAUUUAUCUCGCCAUGUGCCUUCCUCACCUCCUCGCCACUCUUGUCUUCCAUUCUACCACUGCGGCUUCACCAAGCGCCACAGAAACAACAGCAGCUCUAGACCUUAGUAUCAGCACUACAACAUCAGACCCCCUGAUACUUCCACUCUCCACAACUGAAAACCACUCUGGUAGGACUAGUGGCAUGUUCAACACACAAGUGAAGAAAAGCGCUAGCUUAGCAGCUGUCAACAACUCAGGCAGAACGACUCAAGGAAGAGGCAUUCUCAGAACAGGAACUGCCACUUACGCCACCACAGCCGUACAGAAGAGCAACAGGCACAUAACUGCAGGAGACUUGAGGAUGGAAACAGAGAGCCACAAUCACCAUGAGACUCUUCCCCUCAGCAGACACAAAGCCUCACCCACAACUGACCACCCCAGCACCACCUCUCUCCCCGGGGAGGAAGGGACUGAGUAUCAUGACAGCAGCACCACUGAAACAGCCAGAGAACUGAGCACACCAAAUUUCAUAGAAACAGGGGGUGCUGACACCAUUAAUGACUCCAGGCUAGCAAAGCCACACUUAGACAGGUCACAAGCAGCAGACCAGCACACUGCUACACAAGGACUAGAGAUUGCAUCAGGAGAUUACCACACAACACAGAGAGACUUCUUCACAAACACCCCAACUAGUAGAGUGACAGGUUUGAACAGAGGUAAACAAAGCAAGGCCAACAGCGUCACAACAACAACAACGGUUUCACCUACGUACACAGUCACACGUCCUGGUUUUUAUGAGCACAUGACUGUGACUUACAGGGCUCCAGGCUACAAAACACAACCUGACGACACAAGCCAGUCUAUGGACAACCAGGACCACACCACAGCCACAGUUUCAAUCCCCCAUGCUGACAAUAGGACAACUUCAUAUAUCAAUGCAAACACGUUUACAGAUAAUGACACAGGCAAGGACACAAACACACUUUCAUACAGUAAUACCACAACCUCUAAUAAUCGUAACACAACAGUGCUUUUGAAGAAGAAGACUCAUUCAUUCAGACACAACCGCACAAUCUCAGGCUAUGACAACAGGCUGAACAACACAACUGAAAACACUGUGCACGAUCGUCCAGAGUGCGGAGAGGCAGAUGAAAGGUCCCCAUCGUUGCUUCCUGGCUCUACUAGACUGGUCUGUUUCAUUGUUUUGUGGGCUCUGGGAUUGACUGCUUCUCUCUUCCUUGGUCUCACUGUCUUCCUGUGGGUGCGUUUGUCAGUCCAGAGAGAGAGGGAAAGGAGAGCGAGGAGAGGAGGAGAGAAGGUGUCAGGGGUGGAUCUGGAGAACCUGUGGGUUGACCAGAUGUCAUCGGUGGAAGAAAGGGUUGAAUUCUGGUACACCAACGGCUCCACUAUGGGACGCGAGCAUAAACGGAGGGAGAGAGGGAGAGAGAGGGAGAGGAAGAGGAGGGAGCAGGGGAGGCAGAAGGGGAUAAAGUGUGACAACCUGUGGACUCAACCCAAAGUGACACUGGAGAACAUCACUGAUUUCUGGUAUGCAAAUGGAAGAGUGAUACCAGAAGAAACUACAGACCAAACGCUGUUGGAGACCUGCGUAUGAUUCUGUUUUUUGUACUACAGUACUACAAUUUACCUGGAAUUACUUUGGACAGAAAUGUUCACCAUUAUUUUACCAAUUCCAUGGCAGAUUUGAACACUGUAAUCCUGACCGAGUUUAAACAUUUCCAAAAUGAAUUGAUAAUCUGUAUGUUUAUUGGCUUUAACAAAAGUGUAAGUAUAUGAUCUACAUAAAUCUACUGAAAGCUAGAUUAAGCCUGGGUCUGAUCAGAGAGAAAGAAGAGGACAGAGAGAGGAAUAGAGAGAGAUUAGAACAACAUGUCUAACUGGAAAUAACACUUGAUAAGAGAGUUUCCAUUUUAAGACAAUUCAGACCUUGUUAAGAGACACAUCAUCAUCGUGUGUCAGACAGCAACGAGGAGAUAGGUGCCAUUUCUACAAACACACUGACACAAAUACAGUUGACUCCUAAUACUGUACAUGCACUGUUAUUAGGAGCUAGUCAAAUAAAAAGGACUGCACUGGGCGUAAACAAUUUAGCUUAAUUUAUCUGACUGACCAUGUUUACACGCGCACAGCAUUCCAAAUAAUAGCUCAUAACCUAGUUAAGGUCUUAUUCGAGAUAAGCUGUUAAAAUACAUCUUUGAUAUCCCGCUUACGAGUAUCCCUGUAUAAACAGAAUAUUCCUAAAUUUACCCAUGAUACUAUGCAAAACCGAGCCUGUACAAACAAUGUAAAACAACAGUAAACUGAAUAAUAUAUUUGUAUGACACAGUAUCCCGUCUACGAUCAGCAUAUCCCAGGCAUUUUAACUGGGUUUCUCAUAACCGGGACACAAGCUUAUUUGGGUUAUUGUAAACGGGAUAUGAUGCUAAUAUGCUUCAACUAAAAAACUGAAUACUACUAGAAUAUCCCAAAUAGUAAUGGAAAAUUGGUGUGCCUGUGAACAUGGUAACUUACCAGGAAUCGACUAUAGGUCUACCUCACAAUUUAUAGUGGAUCGGGACAUUUGAUCAAUAAUGUAUAACUAUAAAUACAGUACAAAAUAUACCCUUGUAGAAUUUAACACCUAACCAGCUGAAGUAUGACAUAUAAUGUCCCAAGACAUGAGAUUCAUUUUUUUAAUUACAUAAUAAAAUUGAAUUUAUCAUCACUCUCUCUACUUUCAAUUCUCAUGUUUUGACAACCUACUCCCUUUGACUGCCUGCUCCCCACACACACACCGUCAAACAAACACACAUCCAAGUAGGCCUGUGUGUAGGUGUGCAAACACACUCUGGCUCAAACAUUUCAACACACACACCUUCUCUUUGUAGGACCAACUUCUCAUUUUUCCUCGAGAAAAUAAGCACAAGUUACUAUUAAGUUAUUUGGCAUCUCUCCAAUCCCACCUCUUUUGCAGUUAACAAAACUGUUUUAUGAAGAAUUUGAUACCCUGAGGGGAAGAGAUAGAGAGAACCAACUAGAGAGAGAAAGGGAGGGGGAGAGAAAGAAGGGAGUGAACAGGAGGGAGGGAGGGAACGAGCAAGCGAGUGAAAGGUGUUUUGGACAUGCACUAGUGCAUGAGAUGUCAUUCACACAGUACAGGAGUUAAGGCAUGUGCCUUUAAGGUGGAUUCAUAAUUUCAAUCCAAUCGUUUUCUCCAAGCAACAUGUGGGUCUCGUGCUUUUUCUUGGUUCACCGUUGCUGCAAUCUCUCACGCUACACUUGAAAUAGGCAGCUGAUAUACAGAAAAGUAGCGUGAAGUGCAGGGGAGGGGAGGAAAGCUGAAGGGCGAGAGAGGAAGAGAAGGGCUGUGUCUUUCCGGUCUCUUUGCGCCCAAGUGCACCCUAGUGAACAACAAGCCCAGCAACCAGGAGAGACAGCAAGAGAACAAAAGUUGGACUAUGUAAGUGCACUUCAUAUGCCUAACACUCAGUCAAACCUUAGAUUAUUAACAAAGGCAAGGCCUGAAAGAAAGGGAAAUUCCGAGAGCAGUGAAGAUCAAAGCCUGACACACAAUCGUAGUCAAACCAAGAACCCCGGUACCUGAUGACGAAUAUCGCUUUUUUUUUCUAGAGUGUACAUUCUUCUGCUCUAGACUUGUACAACAAACCUCCAAUACCUUUCAAGCCACAACGCUGUCGCUGACGCACCCCAGAAAGAGGAAGACAAACGUAAUCUGAGAGAUCAGCAAAACCCUUUAGGGACGGUUGACCUCUGUGACCCCUCUCACUUCUUGCCCAGUAUGGAGCGGAUACGGCUAAUACUUGGGGCUCUGCUCCUCUCCCUCUCUCUGCCCAGUCUCCCUGCCCAAGAUAAUGUCACCGUCACUGUACCUGAGAAUGUCACCAUGGCAGCACCUAUUAAUGAGGAAGUCACGAUGGCAGCCUCUACACCGGAGGCCACCAUAGAGACAAAGCCUGUUCCUGUCACUUGGGCACAGCCUGCCCCUGAAAUCAUCACCCCGGUAACUGCUAUUCCGAAAGUAACUUCUGUUUCAGUACCUACCACUGAUGCCAUCACUAUGGUAAUAACAAACCCUGAGAUCACCAUCGUUCAGGAGUCCACCUCUGAUGCACCAACUACUACUUCAGAGGCUGAGACGAUGACACCUUCCCCUGUGACCACUGAAGGGCCUAUAGAUAUGACCACUCCAACUGGCCCUAAACCCACCCUCUCCCAAGACGUCCUUACGACCGCCUCUUAUCUCCCAACGACUUCCCAGGACCACCUGACUUCUGUUAUCCCAGUCUGGCCCCUCCUCACCACCCCUCGUCUGACGGAGGACUCCACUUACACACCUGAACCUAUCCACACUGCCUCAGAGAUUACUGCCUGCCACACAGAGGGACUUACCACUGCACCCACCUCCCCAUUGGUCAAUGCCGCUCCCGGCCAUGCCACGACCCCCGCUACCACCCACACCUCCACAGAUCCAGACUCUACAAGUGCUGGGAUCAGGGGGAAGACAGGUCAGCCCAGCUUGUUAUGGGUCAUCAUCGUCACUCUUCUGAUCGUGGUUAUAUUCGCGGGCGUGGUCUACUGUGUAUGUCUGGUCAUCAGACGAAAGAGGCAGAGCCACACCGCGCACUUUGUGUCCAGCCUCCGGAACGGGAAGAGUUCCAAGCGGAAGAAAGGGGCGGAGGAAGACGCCUGGGCAGGGCCAGUGAAGCUAGGGGGUGGGGACAGGAAGGAGGAUGAGGGUGGGGAGGAGGGAGGGAGCCCAGAGGACAACAAGAGAGAGGGGGCUGGAACGGAUGUGGUGCUGAGCACAUUCAUAGCCAACGAGACUGAGGGAGAGAGGGGUGGGCCUGAUGGGGGAGUAGGGGUGGCUGGGAGCAAGGAGGCAGAGAAAUGGGAGGAGAAGGAGCCUCUGCUGUACAUUGAUGAGGGAGUGGAGGAGGGGCAAGAGAGGAUGGCUCCUCCUUCACUUUCAAAAUCGAACUGAGAAAAGACAGGAGGGGAAAGCGGAGAGGGGGAAAGUGAAAAAGAAAUGGAGAGGGGAGAAGGGAAUGGAAAGAAAGAAAAUUAGAGUGAAAGAGGUAAGAAGAAUGGAGGAGCGGCAUUCUGUCUAACCACUGCAGUUUAAAAUAGAAGAGUUUUCCAUAAAAAGUUUUUCUAGGUGAUAAUGUAAAAGUAAAAAAUAUUUUUGUACUACUGAAAAGGCCUUUGACAUUGUAUGUAUCUGUGAUUGUGUGCUCUGUCAACAUAACUCAGGGAAGAUAGAAGUGAUUGUGUGUAUGGUCAUAAGUUUUACCCUUGGUAUUUUGUAUGCUGUUUUGUCUUAACAUUUUUUUGUUGAAUAAAGUUUUAGAUAUGCAGAGUGCAA